AUUGAACGCUGGCGGCAGGCCUAACACAUGCAAGUCGAGCGGCGGGGCGGACGCGUGAGUAAUGCCAGGGAAUCUGCCUGUUAGUGGGGGAUGACGUCCGGAACCGGGCGCUAAUACCGCAUCCUCUCACCUGAGCCUAGGUCGGAUUAGCUAGUUGGUGGGGUAAAGGCCUACCAAGGCGACGAUCCGUAACUGGUCUGAGAGGAUGAUCAGUCACACUGGAACUGAGACACGGUCCAGACGCCUACGGGAGGCAGCAGUGGGGAAUAUUGGACAAUGGGCGAAAGCCUGAGCCAGCCAUGCCGCGUGUGUGAAGAAGGUCUUCGGAUUGUAAAGCACUUUAAGUUGGGAGGCGUUACCAACAGAAUAAGCACCGGCUAACUUCGUGCCAGCAGCCGCGGUAAUAC
rnacentral:rRNA from 1 species